AUGCUGAGUCCUCGGCUUCCCUGGCCCGGAAGCAGUUUCAUGCUGACGUUUGUCAGGCAGCGUCUGCUCUGCUUGUCGCCUUGCAGACUUCAGAGGGGGCUCUGGAUGCUUGAUCUUGGACAUCCGGGACUCUCGGGUAGAGCCAACAAAGCUGAGUGUUCCGAGGCAGAACGAAGAAGCGCUGCUCUGGCUGCCGGAGGGCCCAAGCAUGCCCUGUUCUGGCAUGGUGCUUGAUGGGUGCCUGUCGAAGGCAGGAGACCUAAACAGUCCCCACUGAAAACCAGCUUCCCUCAUCCAGAGCCUCGCAGACCCUUCCGCUGUCCCCAUUUCCGGUGACAGAGGAAUUAUGUGUCUUUCCCUGUGUGAUCAGG
rnacentral:lncRNA from 1 species